rnacentral:pre_miRNA from 1 species
UACCCAUUGCAUAUCGGAGCUGUGAAUUCUCAAAGCACCUCCUAUGUGCAUGGAUUACA